GAAUGAGAUUUAGGAAGUCGUUCCAAAUCACAUUCAAGGUAAUCAUAUAAGUAAGAGAAUCACAUUGGAUAGAAGACAUGAAUAAACUAUCAAACCAAACAAUGUGGUCAAGAGUAUUGUAUUAGAGAAAGACCGUAUUGCAUUGUAAUCCUAAACUGAAUAGGUUCUCUACCUCUUCUAAUUAGCUUGGGUAACCAUGACAUACUGCUAGGUGUCACUUAUGGUUUGUGGAAGCCCUAAACGUGUAUAAUCACUAAAGGGAGAAUUGAAAGUAAGUUUCAAUUCACAAUCGAUUUGAAAGAGUUCUAAUCGCCCACUGCCUCGCUAAAAGGAACCUAAUGGAUUGUACACCAUGUAAGGUAGAGAUUGAAGAAAUAACGGAGAUGAGUAAGGAUAAUUAAAUGGUUUAAUAAUUUAUGGCAAGGAUUAAUUAAUAUGUUAACUAAUCAAACGAAUAAAGUUCGUUAAAGACCUCGGGUUAGUUUUGGGCCGCAAGGCCCAAUGGGAUUUGAAUGUCAAGCCCAUUAACUCAAGUUGUAUGACAACUUGAAUAAACAAAGGGCUUGAAAGCCCAAUAAACCCUUAAGGACGGCCAAAUAGAGGAGGGUAGUGAACUUGCUUUAAUUGCAAGUUUGCCACUCCAUUUUGAGGUGGUAUAAAGGCAACUUUAUAGCCAUUCCAUCCUUAGGGUUUCUUUUGGAGAAAAUUGGAGAGAACAUGUCUCUCCCUUUUCUCUCUAAGAGGCCGGCCCCCUUGGAGGAGAUUAGCUAGCAAUCUUUCAUCCUCUAAGGUCACUCAUCUCUUCUUCAAGUCCCUCCUUGGUGUGGAAAAAUUGGAGGUUCUCUAUUUUGAGAACUUGGAGAUUCCUUUCUACCAUCUUCCUCCAAGAAAUCGAUGGAACUAAGAAGCAAGGAAUGAAGACCCUCUCCUUGGGUGAUUAGCCUUUGCUUAUGCAAAGAGAAAUCUUCAAAGGUAUAAAGUUUCUCAACUUACUUUGUUUUGAGUUGAGUCUUGGUUCACCCUUCUACUAGGCUUUGAAUUUCAUGGGUAAUGUUUUGUUUUGAGUGCAUACAAGCAUGAUUCCGCCUUUAAUUGUUAAUUGCAUGCUAUAGAUGUUGCUCAAAUGAACAUGUUUUUCACAAAAUUUCCUUCAAGUGGUAUCAGAGCCUAGGUCUAGUAGUUGGUGAAUCCUUUUGGGUUUUGUAGUUCAUAGUCUUUGAUUUGAAUGUGGUAAUUGUUACAAGCUUUAUUCUUGCUUCUUUGAAUGUAAAUUUUGUUAGAAAAUUUGCCAUCUCAAAUGUUGUAGAUGUAGUUCAUAUGAGCAUGAAUUUUGGAGCUAAAAUUUGGUGCCAUGUUUUUGGGGAAAUUCAGCCAAAUCCAAAGGAUGAUUUUUUGGGUUCAUGUUUAUCUUGUUAAAAGUGUUUUAAAGUGACUUUUGGAACCCCUAAGUACCCUAGGAUGUUAACCCCAUUUUGAGUUGUGAAAAUUUGAGUUUUAUUGAGUGAAAAUGUUCAUGGAACUCUUAUGGGUUUUCAUGGAUGUUCUUCAUUGUUCUUGAUGUUCUUACCAAGAACAAAAAGUUUGGUGUUUUGAUUCAAAGUUUUUGGUUGAUUUCGUAAAGUCUUUGUUUUGUGUUGGUUGGUGUGAUUUUUUCAAAUUUUGAAAAGUGAUUGAAAUUUGAAAAUUUGAAAUUUGAAAAUGUGUUUGAAUUUUUGUACAUGAUUGAUACUUCUCUUACACACCAACCCAUCACCCACUUGUUCAACUUGCAUGACUUUAUGACUUUGUUUUUCAUCAAAAAUCAACUCACACACCAUCACUCACACUACUCCAAAACUGGCCACCCUACAAGUAGGGUACUUUUGGGGCUUUUAUGCAAUUACAUAAAGUUUUGAUACUUUUGUGUAUUUGUAGUUUGACCCAAAAGUUUACGUUUUUUUACGUAAAGGCCCAAAAUCACUAAAGGACAAAUUGUUUUGUUACUUUAAUGAAGUUUUUGAAUUUGUUGAAAUUUUUGGGUUCUAGUUGUAAUUACAUGAAGUAGUGGACUUUUGUGUUUUUACAAAGUGACCUCAAAAGUUUAUGUUUUGCAAUAUAGCCCAAAAGUUGAGGUUAUUGCUUUUCGGCCCAAAUUAGGUUGAGAACAAAAUGGUUUUGUCUCUUUAAAUGAGAAUUAGAUUUUCAUUUUAUUUAGCUCCAUUUAAAUCAAUUCUAUGGAUACAAAAACCAAAUGACAAUGUUGCAUUCAAGUUUAAUUAGUUAAAGCGUUAAUUAAUUAAAGGGUGAUUAUGAACCUAAGCCUACGAUAAUUGAGCUAUGUGAAAGGCCGUCUCAAAUUUGUUUGAACCAUGGGAAUAUGUAGAUUAGAUUUUGGUUGUAAUUUGAUAUGAUCAAAUAUUGUAAAAGAGCAUAAGCUCUUCUUUACUUUAAAGUAAUUUGUUUUGAUCAAAUGUUGUAAAAGAGCAUAAGCUCUUCUUUACUUUGAAGUACUCAUUUUCUUGUUUUAUUUGAUAUGCAUGAAAUUGGAGUAGUUGGGUCCAACGCCCAAUAGGAAAAACACGCCUUAAUAUGAUUAAACGUGUAACUAAAAUCACUCACAAUCCCUAGAUCGAGAUCCAACACUAGGCUCGUGUUGGAUCUAAUCAAAGGUUCAUAGUCAUCCUAAGGCCCUAAGACAACUAUAUAGUCCAUCAAUGAAUGCAAACCUUAUGUUAGUAGUACCAUAUACUCUUACUUUAAAAACCGUUUUACAAGCUUAGUGGGAGUAUUAUAUACUAUUAAAUCAAUCACAUGGACCAAUAGUUGUAAUAGGACCAAAUUGUUUUAAUAAGAUUAAAAUGUAUGUUUAUAUGUGAUGAGACCUAAAACCCUCAACCAAACCAUUAUUAAGUUGAUAACCGUGAGAGUGCUUUGAACACUCUUUCGUGGCCUUCCACUGUGGUAGGCUCCGAUCGUUUGUGACUCG
rnacentral:lncRNA from 1 species